GCAUCCGUAGCUCAGCUGGAUAGAGUGUUGGAUUCCGAUUCCAAAGGUCACAGGUUCGAAUCCUGUCGGGUGCACCA
rnacentral:tRNA from 1 species